UCUUUCCUUUCUCCUUCAUUUCUUUUUCUUUCCUUCCUUCCUUCUUUCAUCCUUUCUCAUUUAUUUCCCUCCUUCCUUCUUUCCUUCCUUCUUUUUUCUCCUUUUUCUUUCUUCCUUCUUUCUUUUCUUUCUUUCCUUCUUUUAGAAAGAAUGUGUGUCUUUUUGUUUGUUAGCUUUCGAAACAAGGCCUCACUGUGUCACCCCUGCUGGAGUGCAGUGGCACGGUCAGGGCUCACUACAGCCUCGACUUCCCAGGCUGAAGCCAUUCUCCUGCCUCAGCCUCCAGAGUAGCUGGGGCUACAGGCUGCAACACCACUCCCAGCUAUUUUUGUAUUUUUGAUAGAGAUGGGGUUUUCCCAUUGGCUGGUCUUAACCUCCUGGCUCAAAGUCAUACAUGGGUCUCAGUCUCCCAAAGUGCUGGGAUUACAGGUAUGAGCUGCCAUGCCCGACCUUUUCUUUUCUUUCUUUUUUCUUCUUUUCUUUUCUGGCUUUCUUUUUCUUUUUUAUUUCUCUCUCUGAGAGGGUCUCACUCUGUCACCCAGGCUGCAGUGCAGUGGUGCAGUUAUGGCUCACUGCAGCCUUGGCCUCCUGGGCUUAAGCAAUCCUCCCACCUCAGAUUCCAGAGUAGCUAAUUUUUUAAUUUUUUUUUUUUUUUUUUUUACUUUUUGUAGAGAUGGGGAUCUCGCCGUGUUGCUCAGACUGGUGUCAAAUUCCUGGACUCAAGCCAUCCUUCCACCUCGGCCUCCCAAACUGUUGGGAUUACAGGUGUUGCCAGACGAGAUUAACUUUUGAGCCUGUGGACUGGGAGAAGACCCGCCCUCAGGAAGACCCACCCACAGUGUGGGCAGGCAUCAUCCAAUGGGAUCUCAGCUUGGCUAGAAAAGGCCAGCAGAGGAAGGGAAGGAGCUGACUGGCUGAGUCUUCCAGCCUUCAUCUUUCUGCCGUGCUGGAUGCUUCCUCCCCGAAACAUCAGAUUCCAAGUUCUUCAGCUUUUGGACUCUUGGAUUUACACCAGUGGACUUGCCCCGCUAAAGGCUGGAGAGCGGUGUCCGCUUCUCUGCUUUUGAGGUUGUGGGACUCAGAGCCAUUACUGGCUUCCUUGCUCCUCAGCUUGCAGACAGCCCAUUGUGGGACUUCACCUGGUGAUUGUGUGAGUCAGUUCCCCUUAAUAAACUCCCUUUCAUAUAUACAACUAUCCUAUUAGUCCCAUCCCUCUAGAGAACCCUGACUAACACACCUUUCAACUUCAGAUGGCUUUGUUUCAACCGUGAACCUUGACUGGAGGUCAACCAAGUAUUGGGUACUGUGCUGGGCACUUUAAUUAAAAAGAUAAAAUAAGAUACACUUCUUGUCCUCAA
rnacentral:lncRNA from 1 species